rnacentral:tRNA from 1 species
UGGCCGUGGGAUCGUUCCUGUUCGCGGCAUUCCUGGUGCCGCCGCAGCCGUCCGGCGUGCUGGACGCCGGUGGUUACC